GAUGAAGAACGCAGUGAAAUGCGAUAAGUAAUGUGAAUUGCAGAAUUCAGUGAAUCAUCGAAUCUUUGAACGCACAUUGCGCCCGACAGUAUUCUGGCGGGCAUGCCUGUUCGAGCGUCAUUUCAACCAUCAAGCCCUGCUUGCGUUGGGGUCCUGCGGCUGCCCGCAGGCCCUGAAAACCAGUGGCGGGCUCGCUAGUCACACCGAGCGCAGUAAUACAUCUCGCUUUGGGCGUGCGGCGGGUUCUUGCCGUUAAACACCCCCUUUUUACCAAGGUUGACCUCGGAUCAGGUAGGAAGACCCGCUGAACUUAAGCAUAUCAAUAAGCGGAGGA
rnacentral:misc_RNA from 1 species